GACAGAGGGUGCAAACGUUGUUCGGAAUUACUGGGCGUAAAGCGUGCGCAGGCGGUUUUGUAAGUCUGUCGUGAAAUCCCCGGGCUUAACCUGGGAAUGGCGAUGGAGACUGCAAGGCUAGAAUCUGGCAGAGGGGGGUAGAAUUCCACGUGUAGCAGUGAAAUGCGUAGAGAUGUGGAGGAACACCGAUGGCGAAGGCAGCCCCCUGGGCUAAGAUUGACGCUCAUGCACGAAAGCGUGGGGAGCAAACAGG
rnacentral:rRNA from 1 species